GGGGAUGUAGCUCAUCUGGUAGAGCGUUAAACAAUAAAUGAUGAUAAAGGCAGGGGUUCAACUCCUCGCAUCUCCA
rnacentral:tRNA from 1 species